rnacentral:rRNA from 1 species
AACCCGAGAACCUGUCUCAGUUCGGAUUGGAGUCUGCAACCCGACUCCAUGAAGCUGGAUUCGCUAGUAAUCGCGCAUCAGCCACGGCGCGGUGAAUACGUUCCCGGGCCUUGUACACACCGCCCGUCAAGCCAUGGAAGCCGGGAGUGCCUGAAGUGCGUGACCGCAAGGAGCGUCCUAAGGCAAUACCGGUGACUGGGCUAAGUCGUAACAAGGUAUC